AUUGGGGUUAUGCUACAUUAUUGGCAAUGUCUGGCUCAAUGUAUAGUGAUAGGUGUUAUGCUGUACCCCUGUCAAUGGUAUGCAGUUUUU